rnacentral:tRNA from 1 species
AGCCCGGCUAGCUCAAUCGGUAGAGCGUGAGACUCUUAGUCUUCACGGUCUAAUAGACACGAUAACUCAGUACAUCUCAAGGUUGUGGGUUCGACCCCCACGUCGGGCU